UGUAAAAUAAGCUAAGUUGAAGCUGUCGGGUUCAUGCCCCGAAAAUGGAUAAACUAAUCCUUUUACAA
rnacentral:tRNA from 1 species